rnacentral:lncRNA from 1 species
GGUCUUCAAGUUGUCUCGACGUGCAGAUGAGCUGAUGGCGAGCUGGCCUCCCUCUCUGUCUGCCAAGACCGUCGUCUCGUGGGGGAGGGCUCCUCCGGUGACACACCACGUCUCAGCCGAACCCCCGGGAGUUGCUUCAGGAGCCAGCAUCUCUUUUGCUGUUGCUGCCACCGUCCGGCCCAGAUUCCCCGGAUCCAGCCUCAUCAAGCAAAAGGCAGGAGGGAGGCCAGGAGGAGGCCGUGCAAGAAUUUGCUCCAAAGGAGCUGCUUCAGUUACUUCAAAGGAACGAACGUCUCGCUCCUUUGAGUCUUUGCUGCAGAAGUUCUGAAAAAUCCCCUCAGGGACAAACCUUCCUGGAACCCACGCUCCCGCCCUGGGAAGGGCCUGCACGCCUGUGCGAAGGAGCCUGAUUUCAGCCCUCAUCGAGGCGCAGAUUCACUCAAAAGGCAGCGCCCUCAGCGCAGGGGGCGGUGAAUUGGGUCCUGGAUCACAGCCUGGAAGGCAGCGCUCGUCCUGGACGGCCGGGGUCCGGGCUUUCUGGGGGCUGGGGCAUCCCCGGGACGGUCAGGGUGUGUGACCUUCUCUGGGCAAAGCCUCAGAGAAAGUGACCCCCACGGGUGCCCCGGGGGCGUCUGCGGUUUAAUCUCUCAGAAGCCGGCUGGUGUCCCGCAGCUCCGAAGGAUGGGAAAUGCGAGUCCCGGUUCCGACAGACUUGUUCCAGGAACCGGGGCAUCGGUGAGGGGAGGCGUCAGGAGGAGCGAGGUGGGUGUCAGCCCGGAGCUCGGCCACCCGCGUCCGCUCCUGGGGCAGCUGCUUCAACAGACGAGCACGGACGUCGGAAGGGAGGUGCGCAGGGUUUUGAAGGGCAGGAGUCCAGGACCCAGACGUGGACAGGGCCUCAGGCCCCCGCAGGCUCCUCAGAGCCCUCUGUGCGACGGAAGCCCCCUCCCUGUGGACGCCAGGCCUGCCUGGGCCGGCCAGCCUCGCCCCCGAGUUUCCACUUCGCGGCCAGCAUCACCCCCACUUCGCGGCCUUCUUGACACUUGGCUGGCGAAUCCUUUCAGGUACGUAGCGUGGCUGUUUAAACGGCUCAUCUGCUACCUUCAAAAUGUAAAGUUUUCUAUACGUCUAGGUCCAUUAUCCUGAUUAUCGGUCGCGUUGUCCAGUUCUUGCUUGUCUGUUCAGGGGAUCGUGCCUGAGACGUGCAGAGACGACUCGUCCCAUCUUGGCCUGGAACGUGCCGCGUUUGCUCCAGGAGGCGUUGCAGUCACUGCCGGGUCCUCAGCGCUGUGUGGACCUGUCUUCUCGGGCCCGGCCGCCAGCCAGAGCUGUGGCCGGUCCAGUUUUUCAGGAGCCGCCUGCAGGGUUUGCUGAGCCAGGUCGAGGAACGCAGACGCCCAGCAACUCCGCCGCGGUGCCGCUUCCUGCUCAGAUCAUAAGCUGCUCAGGACUCAGGGACCCCGCACUGAUCUGUGAUCCCUCGCCUGCUCCUCCCUGGGAUGGUUCUCAUUUCCAGCUGCUGCGGCAGCUCUGACCUUUAACCUCUGGCUGGAGCCCAAGGCCACAGCCUCUUCCCGCGCCAGCACCUGUGCUGCUUUGUGCGGGGACAGCGACCUCGGGAAGGGCUGGUCGCCGUGAGCUGGCUGGUCAAUGACCUUCCUCCUGGGAGGGCCUGUGCCCGCUCCUGGUUAUUCUCUGACAAGCUUGCCACUACGAUUAAGAACCUUGGGCCAACAUGAGCCUCUUUCCCUUGGCUGGGAUCAGAACCCACCUGCUUAGCUGCGACAGUCUGGGUGUUUGGUCUACACCCCAGACCACCUGCGUUAGACUUUCUGGGUGUGGAACACAGCGUGGGUAUCCCUGGAAGUGCCUGGCGACUUCUGUGUAACCGAAGUUGCUGGAAGCAUUUAUGAAGCAUCGUAUGUCUCAGCGCUUUUCAUUAACGAUUUUUCAAUCCUCUGGUAGCCUCAUUAUUUUCAUACGGGAACUAAGGGUUAGGAUGUUCCAGAGCUGGGCCUUGACACCGCCAGGGUGACCUCAGACCCUAGGGUUAACGGCUGGCUUCACGGUGCAGCGUGGGGAGGGCGGGGGGACCGGGGGUUUGAGGUCGGAACGGCUGGCGCUCUGUUGUGUGGCCGUAGUUCACUUGGGCAUUUCCCCUGUGGGAGGGUACUUACCAUGCUGUCGAUAUUCUGACUGUUAUAAACCAUUUUGCACAGGAUAUUUUGUACCUCA